rnacentral:tRNA from 1 species
GGGCGAUUAGCUCAGUGGUAGAGCGCCUCGUUGACAUCGAGGAGGUCACAAGUUCGAACCUCGUAUCGCCCACCA